GAGCGAUCAGUAUAUUCAGGCCAACAACUGGUUUGAGCGAGAGAAUAAUGUAGUGAGUUAAAAGGUGUGAAUGCGCCCUUAUCCCAUUGAUUACGGGUGAGUGAAGUCCGAUCGACCGCGUCACCAAUUGGCCAAUUCAAAAUAGGACUCUCUGAUUGGUUAAUCGUUGCUGGUUCUCCUAAGGCACUAAGGGCCGGUUGUUCCAACUUCUUGGUAAAUUUUACCCGAUAGAUAGUCUAUCUUCGUCUCUUUUUUAGAACUUAUCUGAAAAGAGACGAAAAUAUGCUACCUGUCGAGUAAAACUUACCAAGAAGUUGGAAAAAUCGGCCCUAAAUAUAUGAGUAUUCUAUACUCCGCCAUUUUUAAUCCAUCCCCCCACCCAUUCCUCCUUGCCAUCUGGGCUCCGCGCUUCGUCACGGAGCUAAAAAGGUUAUAGAAUACGUAUUAAACUUCGUUGUUGCGUUUUUGCUCUCUGCAUUCUAAAAAAAUCAUCUUAAUAUCUAUUGUAAACUAGUGUAGAACGUGGGAAGUGUUGGAGUGUUUAACAGUUAUACCUAGCAAGGUUUUUUAAAAUGUCAAAACGAAGCACCAAUCGUAGCAACAAAAAUAUGUUGCUUCCUGAAAAGAACAACAAGAGCUAUAAAGAUGAAGAUAUUGUUGAACCAGUUUCAGAAGAGAGCAUUUUGUCGAUGAUGGCAGAAAAUCUCUGAAACAACAGUUGGAGAGACUACACAUAAUAAUAAAACAGUAUUCUCAUUGCCCAGCAGUUGUCGAAUACCUGCAGAAAUAUAAUGUAAAAUAAUUCAUUGAUGUGCGAUAUUUUUAGUGUUUCAUACAUUUAUAUUGUAUUGAUUGUAUAUAUUUGACAUUUGGAAUAAUACUAGGUUUCUGUAUCAAGUUUUUGUAAUAGAUUGCGAAAAUUAUUUCCUCAAAGUAUUUACUAUGAUCAGAAUUUUAGGAAACGUAUGUAAUAAAUCGAAUAUAUUGUAAUGUA